GCUGUACAAUUGGGCAAGGAGUGUAAUAUAGCUGUACUAUUACACUCCUUGCCCAAUUGUACAGCUAUAUUACACUCCUUGCCCAAUUGUACAGCU
rnacentral:pre_miRNA from 1 species